AAGUCGUAACAAGGUUUCCGUAGGUGAACCUGCGGAAGGAUCAUUAGCGAAGCUCGGAACGCGCGUUCGGUGCUGAUGCUGCCCAGCAAUGGGACUGUGCUCGCUCGGACGUGUGUCCCUUCUCUAUUCCACCCCAUUGUGAACCAAGUGUGCGAGCCGAAGAGAGAUCGGAGGCUCGCAUGCAAACCCUUAACAUACCCCAAUGAAGUAUCAGAAUGUACCUUGCGUUAACUCGCACAAAUACAACUUUCAACAACGGAUCUCUUGGCUCUC
rnacentral:misc_RNA from 1 species